rnacentral:rRNA from 1 species
UGAGGAAUAUUGGUCAAUGGGCGAGAGCCUGAACCAGCCAAGUCGCGUGAAGGAAGACAGUCCUAAGGAUUGUAAACUUCUUUUAUACGGGAAUAACGGGCGAUACGAGUAUGGCAUUGAAUGUACCGUAAGAAUAAGCAUCGGCUAACUCCGUGCCAGCAGCCGCGGUAAUACGGAGGAUGCGAGCGUUAUCCGGAUUUAUUGGGUUUAAAGGGUGCGUAGGUUGUUCGGUAAGUCAGCGGUGAAACCUGAGCGCUCAACGUUCAGCCUGCCGUUGAAACUGCCGGGCUUGAGUUCAGUGGCGGCAGGCGGAAUUCGUGGUGUAGCGGUGAAAUGCAUAGAUAUCACGAGGAACUCCGAUUGCGAAGGCAGCUUGCCAUACUGCGACUGACACUGAAGCACGAAGGCGUGGGUAUCAAACAGG